UACGUAGGGGGCAAGCGUUGUCCGGAAUUAUUGGGCGUAAAGAGCUCGUAGGCGGUUUGUCGCGUCUGCUGUGAAAACUCGGGGCUUAACUCCGGGCCUGCCAGUGGGUACGGGCUAGACUAGAGUGCGGUAGGGGAGACUGGAAUUCCGUGGUGUAGGCGGUGAAAUGCGCAGGAUAAUCAGGAGGAACACCGGUGGCGAAGGGCGG
rnacentral:rRNA from 1 species